AGAGUUUGAUCCUGGCUCAGGAUGAACGCUGGCGGCGUGCUUAAUACAUGCAAGUCGAACAAGCACUUUUGACAGAUCCCCUCGGGGUGAAGAUGAUUGUGACUUAGUGGCGGACGGGUGGUAACGCGUGGGGAACCUGCCUCGUGCUGGGGGAUAACAGUUAGAAAUGACUGCUAAUACGCAUAAGCGCACAGUAAGGCAUCUUACAGUGUGAAAAGAUUUAUCGGCAUGAGAUGGACCGCGUCUGAUUAGGUAGUUGGCGGGGUAACGGCCCACCAAGCCCGCGAUCAGUAGCCGACUGAGAGAGUGAUCGGCCACAUUGGGACUGAGACACGGCCCAGACUCCUACGGGAGGCAGCAUAGGGAAUAUUGCACAAUGGGGGAAACCCUGAUGCAGCGACGCCGCGUGAGUGAUGAAGUUUUCGGUACGUAAAACUCUAUCAGCAGGGAAGAUAAUGACGGUACCUGACUAAGAAGCCCGGCUAACUACGUGCCAGCAGCCGCGGUAAUACGUA
rnacentral:rRNA from 1 species